rnacentral:rRNA from 1 species
AUUGAACGCUGGCGGCAGGCCUAACACACGCAAGUCGAACGAGUGGCGGACGGGUGAGUAAUGUCUGGGAACCUGCCUGAUGGAGGGGGAUAACUACUGGAACCGGUAGCUAAUACCGCAAACCUACAGAUGUGCCCAGAUGGGAUUAGCUAGUUGGUGGGGUAACGGCUCACCAGGGCGACGAUCCCUAGCUGGUCUGAGAGGAUGACCAGCCACACUGGAACUGAGACACGGUCCAGACUCCUACGGGAGGCAGCAGUGGGGGAUAUUGCACAAUGGGCGAAAGCCUGAUGCAGCCAUGCCGGGUGUAUGAAGAAGGCCUUCGGGUUGUAAAGUACUUUCAGCGGGGAGGCGUUACCCGCAGAAGAAGCACCGGCUAACACCGUGCCAGCAGCCGCGGUAAUUC